rnacentral:pre_miRNA from 1 species
AUCUUUUUGAAUCCGUGCUGAGAUUUCGUCAAACACCAACUGAUUAGGACUAAUCAGACUUCCAAGAUAAGUGAAGUU